ensembl:lncRNA
CGUGUCAAUGCUAAUCAAUUAGAGAUUCAGUACUUUCAGGCGGAAGAAAUACUGGACAAAGCCAUUUUGCUUUCUUUGACUUUGCUGUAACAGACUAGCAACAUGGAACCACAGAAACAAGCCUAGACUGCUUCCAGAGUGAACACACUGCCUCGUCUACACACAGGACUGCUUCCAGAGUGAACACACUGCCUCCGCUACACACAGGACCGCUUCCAUAGUGAAGACGCUGCCUCCGCUACACACAGGACCGCUUCCAGGGUGAAAACACUGCCUCUACUACACACAGGACCGCUUCCAGGAGACUCUGACCAGCUGCAAGAGCCAUCAGGAACCAACAGACCAAGGACGGCUUUGACAGAAGAGGCGAAGCAGAGGCUGUCUGAAGAGGUCUGCGACAUCAUCC